AGCAAUCUACACACAUACACUCACACACCCCGUCCCUUUCCCUCCUCGCAGAAGCCGAGGAGAUGCCAUGUGAGGGUGCAGCGAGGAGUUGGGCUGUCUAAAAGCAAAGAAAGAGAUUGCAUCAGACACCGCAUCUGCUGACACCUUGUUCUUGGACUUCCAGCUUCCAAAACCGCGAGAAAUAAAUGUCUGUGUCUAAACCCCAACCCUACCACCUCAACUGCCGUGUGUGGUGUUUUGUGAUGGCAGCCCCAGCUGACUGAGACACCUGGUUAGACCGGAAUAAGCAGGCUGCAAUCGGUAGCAGUCACCAUUGAACAUCCUUGAAGCAAUUCUUCCAAAAUUACCUUGCAUCAAAGACUGCACAAGAACUGCUCUAAGCGGAAGGACUGAUGUCGGCAACCAGGGUUCCACCAGGGGCUGCAGACAGCCCUUGACCUUCAGGUGGGAAGGUGUCACUGAGUUCAGACCCUCUGGCAAUCCCUAGCUAUCAACAUUUUGAUAAGAAAAUAAGUGGAAAGUCUGCAAGAAGAACAUUGUGUGAGAAAUAUCAAGUGAGAGUGGAAGAGUCUGCGGAGGGCCUCCCUGGGGCUCACCUGUGCUUUUGCCUGAGCUUCA
rnacentral:lncRNA from 1 species